UACGUAGGGGGCAAGCGUUGUCCGGAAUCAUUGGGCGUAAAGCGCGCGUAGGCGGCUUGGUAAGUCCGCUCUGAAAGCCCGGGGCUCAACCCCGGGAGGCGGGUGGAUACUGCCGAGCUCGAGUCCGGAAGAGGCGGGUGGAAUUCCUGGUGUAGCGGUGAAAUGCGCAGAUAUCAGGAGGAACACCGAUGGCGAAGGCAGCUCGCUGGGACGUGACUGACGCUGAGACGCGAAAGCGUGGGGAGCAAACAGG
rnacentral:rRNA from 1 species